rnacentral:lncRNA from 1 species
AUUGGCUACCAUCACUUUUUGCCUAGAUUACUGUAACAGUCUCCUAAUUGGUCUCCCUUAUUUGCUGUGGCUGAUUCGCAACACAAUCCAGUGUAAUCUCUCAAAAACGUAAAUGAGGUCAUGGUACAGCAUGCUCUCUGCAGCUCCCAGUUUCUCUCAGAUCAAGGCUAAAGAUUUUAUACUAACCCACUAGGCCUCAUCAUCUGGCUCCUUAUAAACAAGCCCUCAUUCAGGCUUGCUCCAUACAGGCCUUUGUGCUGUUCUUUGUAAGUGUUGGUCAUGCUACUGUCUCAGGACCUUUGCACUGGCUGUUCCUACUUCCUGGAAUGCCCUUCCCCAGAUAGCUGCAUGGCCGCCUCCCUCACUGUCUUCAAACAUCACUGUAUUACUUAUCCAUUGUCAGGUAACAAAGAACUCCAAAUCUUGCAACUUAAAACAACAGACUCUAUUAACUCAUAGCUUCUGCAGUCAGGAUUACAAAUGCAGCUUAGCUGGGUGCCUCUGUCUGGAUAUUCUCUGAAUCAAGGUGUCACCAGGGUUAUGGUCUCAUCUCUAAGCUCAACAGAGCAAAGAACACUUUUAAACUCACUCCCUGAGUUGUUAACUGGAAGUCAGUUCCUGGGGGGCUACUGAACUGAGAACUGAGGUCUCCCUCAGUUCCUUGCCACAUGGAUCUUCUUCCACAGAACACCUCCUGGCACGGUAGCAGCUUCCGUCAGGUAAGCAAGCCAGGGCGUCCAAGAAGGGCGUAACCCAGUCUUGGAAAUAGCAUCCUGUCACUUUGGCCAUAUUCUAUUUGUUAGUCAAACCUACACUAAAAUAAAGAGGAUUAUAUAAGAAAGACUCAGAGAUGUGGGUUAUUUGGGAUCAUCUAAGGCUGCAUAUCACCAUGACUUUUUCAGCAAGGUGACCUCCUAUUUAAAAUUGCAAUUGCAACCUAAACCUUCACUGGUUUGCCUGCAUGUCCCACCACCUCAUGCUUUCAUUUCCUCUUGCUCUAGUGAGCAAUAAAAAUGUUGUUCUGAGCUGCCUGGUUUUCAGGUGGUUUGUACCAAUAGCAAACUGAUGCACUAUCUUCUAAAAAGAAAAAAUAUAUAUAACAACAACUCUACAAUGUACUUUUUCACUUACAUGUGUCAUUUGUUGUCUGUGUUCCUAUAAUGGAAUCUACGCCACAUGAGGGCAGGAUUUUUGGUUUGGUGUGGUUUGGUU